AGUGAACGCUGGCGGUAGGCCUAACACAUGCAAGUCGAACGGCAGCACAGUAAGAGCUUGCUCUUACGGGUGGCGAGUGGCGGACGGGUGAGGAAUACAUCGGAAUCUACUUUUUCGUGGGGGAUAACGUAGGGAAACUUACGCUAAUACCGCAUACGACCUACGGGUGAAAGCAGGGGAUCUUCGGACCUUGCGCGAUUGAUUGAGCCGAUGUCGGAUUAGCUAGUUGGCGGGGUAAAGGCCCACCAAGGCGACGAUCCGUAGCUGGUCUGAGAGGAUGAUCAGCCACACUGGAACUGAGACACGGUCCAGACUCCUACGGGAGGCAGCAGUGGGGAAUAUUGGACAAUGGGCGCACGCCUGAUCCAGCCAUACCGCGUGGGUGAAGAAGGCCUUCGGGUUGUAAAGCCCUUUUGUUGGGAAAGAAAAGCAGCAGGUUAAUACCCCGCUGUUCUGACGGUACCCAAAGAAUAAGCACCGGCUAACUUCG
rnacentral:rRNA from 1 species